GUCUAACAUGUUCUUAUUAAAAACUCCUUGAAAUUAUUUUGCUGUUGAAAUAUGUUCUGCCAUUCAUCCAUUAAUAGAGAUCUUUCCACUACAAGAAAAUCUUCUUACAUUUUGUUUUAAUUUGAACAAACCUUGGGUAGUGGCUAUUAUAUAGCACAGAUUGCACAGGACACUAAUUCCACCUCUGUGUAGAUAUCGGCUCUUUAGUACUCUUCUCAAUCCACUGCCCUCUCAAAUCCUCUGCCAGCAAAAUGAGGAAGUAAUGUCAAAGUAGCGUUGCCUGGUCAAGGUGAUUCAAGGUAAAGAAGAUUCAAAGUUAUACUACCCUGUUGAGUGUCUACAUCAUGCAUCACAAAAUAUAAAUUCAUCUACUGAAACAAUUGUCUAAAUUACACUUAUUCUGCAGUUAAUGGAACAGUACAAUUCACCACUCAGUAUUAAACACUUUCAAAUGCAGUGAGACUUCACUAAAUGUUUGUUUCCAGCUCUAAUUACUUGCAUUUUUUUUUUAUUUUUUUUUAAGCAGAGCUGUUUGAAGUGCUCUCUACAUCUUUCUUUAUGUUAUCAUUAUUUGUAUGCAGAACUCUACAUAUUAUAAAUGCAUAUAACACACAAAGAAUAUUCACAUGCUUUUCUAUUCAGACUACAGAAGUAGGCACAUCCAGCCAACCUCUCCUGCCCCCAAGUGUAACUAGGUAGACAGAAAAAUAAGCUAGGGAUUUUGCUGUGAUCAUUAUACAGAACUCAGGUCUGUAUAACAACUCAUCACAAGCUAGUCAUAUUAAAUAGCAACUUAAAACCUCCCAAACCAAUCAGACUAUUUCUUUUUAACUAUUACUUAUGAAAGGGAUCUAACAGUAAAUUCACAGAGGAUAUCUCUGUUCCCAGUUGUUGUAAUCUUACUAAUUUAGAACAUGGUUUCUCUAAAAGCAAUGAUCACAUUAGAAUUUACACUAAAAACAACAUCAGGAAAAAUUCUAAACUAAAACUGAACAAUUUUUUACUUUGUAAUUCAGCUCUUCCUAAACAAUUUUUUUGUAAUCUUUUUAAUCCAUGAUGUUAGAAUACAUAUUUACAUCAUUUGAAAACAGCACACAGCAUCUCAUUUGCUUCUGCUGUAUUGCAGGAGGAUAUCUAAGGUUUGCAGUGAUCAUCUGCACAUAUAAAAACAUUACACGUAUACACUUUUUAUUAAUGUAUUCCCAUUACAGAACCCAUUUGCAGGGUUCUGAAAUCAACCUUAAGAAGUUUCCCAGUUAAGACCCAGAAAAAAAGUCUGAACCAAGAGGGUUUUGUGUUUAUCUUGUCACUCUGAAAAAAAAACAGUUAAAAUUAUUGCUUAGUUUUUUAUUUGGGGAAAAGGAAAUGCAUGUCUUACUAGAUCAACCACAAUCUCUAAUACAGCAUUACUGAAAGUCAUAAAUGGCCAGUUUUAAGUUUUAGAUAAUAAAACUGUUAUCAAAUCCACCAAUAAGUAAUUGUAUUCUCUAAAAUUCAAGAGCAACAGCAGUGGCAAGCCUCAUCCCCCCAAGAUGUAAUUUCUUUCUGUCCUUACGACCAAAUGAGUUUCAUUCCAUACUUCUUUCAAGCUUCUACAGCCCGAGCAUCCUGCCUUUUUAUGAUUUUCAUGCUAAAAUUUAAGAAGUAGAGAUGAGAGGUAUGAGGCAGAGAUGAGAUGAGCUGAAAAAGGGGUUCCGGGCGAGCAGAAGGGAAAGAGAACCCUUUGAGGGAAGUG
ensembl:lncRNA